rnacentral:rRNA from 1 species
CCUACGGGGGGCUGCAGUAGGGAAUAUUGCUCAAUGGGGGAAACCCUGAAGCAGCAACGCCGCGUGGAGGAUGAAGGUUUUCGGAUUGUAAACUCCUAUUGGCAGAGAAGAUAAUGACAGUAUCUAACGAAUAAGCACCGGCUAACUACGUGCCAGCAGCCGCGGUAAUACGUAGGGUGCAAGCGUUACUCGGAUUCACUGGGCGUAAAGAGCGCGUAGGCGGGAAAGCAAGUCAGAUGUGAAAUCCUAUGGCUUAACCAUAGAACUGCAUUUGAAACUGUGAUUCUAGAGUAUGGGAGAGGUAGGUGGAAUUCUUGGUGUAGGGGUAAAAUGCGUAGAGAUCAAGAGGAAUACUGAUUGCGAAGGCGACCUGCUAGAACAUAACUGACGCUGAUGCGCGAAAGCGUGGGGAGCAAACAGGAUUAGAUACCCGGGUAGUC